GGAUCUAAUCCUGUUUGCUCCCCACGCUUUCGCACCUGACGUCAGUCUUUGUCCGGGGGCCGCCUUCGCACCGGAUUCCUCCAGAUCUCUACGCAUUUCACCGCUACACCUGGAAUUCUACCCCCCUCUACAAGACUCUAGCCUGCCAGUUUCGGAUGCAGUUCCCAGGUUGAGCCCGGGGAUUUCACAUCCGACUUGACAGACCGCCUGCUGCGCUUUACGCCCAGUAAUUCCGAUUAACGCUUGCACCCUCCGUAUUACCGCGGCUGCUGGCACGAGUUAGCCGGUGCUUCUUCUGCGAGUAACGUCAAUUGCUGGGUUAUUAACCACAACACCUUCCUCCUCGCUGAAAGUACUUUACAACCCGAAGGCCUUCUUCAUACACGCGGCAUGGCUGCAUCAGGCUUGCGCCCAUUGUGCAAUAUUCCCCACUGCUGCCUCCCGUAGGAGUCUGGACCGUGUCUCAGUUCCAGUGUGGCUGGUCAUCCUCUCAGACCAGCUAGGGAUCGUCGCCUAGGUGAGCCGUUACCCCACCUACUAGCUAAUCCCAUCUGGGCACAUCCGAUGGCAAGAGGCCCGAAGGUCCCCCUCUUUGGUCUUGCGACGUUAUGCGGUAUUUAGCUACCGUUUCCAGUAGUUAUCCCCCUCCAUCGGGCAGUUUCCCAGACAUUACUCACCCGUCCGCCACUCGUCACCCAAGGAGCAAGCUCCUUGUGCUACCGUUCGACUUGCAUGUGUA
rnacentral:rRNA from 1 species